GGUUGUGUAGUGUAGUGGUCAUCACUCCAGAUUUUGAUCAGAAAGUUAUUUAUCAGGACCUUGUGGUUCUGCUUUCGGUUCUCAAUCUUCUGGAAACCCCGGUUCGAACCCGGGCACGACCU